GUAGAGAUGGCUAAGCAGUUAAGAGCACUGGUUGCUAUUCCAGAGGACCUGGGUUCAAUUCCCAGCACCCACA
rfam:Cricetulus griseus cell line CHO-K1, whole genome shotgun sequence.